AAGCCAAGUAGACAAAGGUGAACAAGAUUUUAAUAAUAUCCGAACAAGAUAAUGACGUCAUUUAAUAAUUUAAAACACUAUAAUAUAAAAAUGGUAUCCGUAUGGAAUUCUUGAUGAACUUUUGUGUUUACAAUGUAUAAAUAUCUUUGUUUACUAUCAUGUUUAGUUACCCUUAAAUAUAUCAGUUGUAAUCAAAUUGAGAAACAUAAUGCAAAUGAAACAUGGGAAAUAUUGAUUUUUGUACAACGUUGGCUG